ACUCCUAUCAGGACGUAUGGACAGGGUGUGUGGGUAGGGUGUGUGGGGCUCAUCAAUAACAGGCCCAGCACCACAUCCCAUCUAUUGUCCUUUGCUCAGAGUUAGUCAGCUUAUAUGCAUUGUGUUAAGUUCCUCAUGCCCAUAUUCUGUCAGUCACUAGCCCUCCAGGUCCAAGUUGCAACCAACUGUGUGGAGCUAGUUCACAGGCCAGACCAGCAGCAGCCUUUCCAGGAUGUAGGUGUCUCUUACAGAUUGUUUAUAAAUAUUGAACCUACUCUGCCUUUCAUAUGUUUGAUCAAUUAACAACACACUUGUAUUAUUUUUGUUCUUUAUCGAAUCACAGCAGUGAGUUGGAUGGAUGAAAUGGAGACCAGAUCACCAGCAGUAGUCAAAGGCCAGGAGGCUCAUUUAUCAAGAAAAGACUAAUGAGGCUAAUCCUGGUGAAGAUGGAACAACUUCACCAAAAGGUUCUGUUCUUAAAAACCCACGUUUGCCAGGAAUUACUGAGGCCGAGGUUGAAAGGGCAGUUCAAAACUGGCUCAGGCUGAGCCAAGAAGACUCUGGGAUGGCAGCUGGAAGGAGAAACCUAAGAAUAAUUAAUUUGUAGCCUAUAUAAUGCACAAUUGUUGGGUGUUUUUAUUUAGGCUACUAUUCAUACCUUUAUACCUUUAUUUACCUUGUCUCUUCACUUUAUAUCAGCAGUAGAUCUAUUAAAUGUCGGCAGUAGAUCAAUUAAAUGUUGGCUAAACAGCGGCGGAGAAGCAGGAAGUAUCGUUGAAACAUCGGCGGAAGAGAAAAAUCAACGUCUCCUUUACGUCUUGCCGAUGAGCAGCCGACGUCUAUACUGCAUUCUACUGACAUCUCGUGUGUAUAUUGUGCCAACAUUGCUUUCCUGAAAAGUAGUGACAUGCGACAUAAGCCCAGUUUCCUGAAUUCUCUCACAUUUUGUCUAAGGUUGGUACGCCAUUUAUUUUUUGAUGGUUCUUGCUGUGCUCAGCCAUGCUUAUAUGCCCCAGGUAAUUUCUACCCAGCAUUAUUCCUCUAGAUGCUGUUUGACAUCCAAGUCUUGCUUUAAUUCUGAAAUCAUAUCUGACUUUCUGCUUUGUCACAGUGGCUGCAUAACAACCCUCAUAUUGUUGUAUAAAAUCCCUCAGGUGGCUGUUGUGCCGGUACCAUCUGUGUACAAAAAUUAAAGGCAUUGUUUAAUAUUCCACUACACUUCAAUUGCAUUUUUAUUAUUAGAAUUCUGUCUGCGUUGCUGGGCAUCCAUUCACAUUUUCAGUUGUUUUUCUCUUUUUUUCAUAUUUUCUU
ensembl:lncRNA